rnacentral:lncRNA from 1 species
AAAAAGACAUAACUAAUUUUGUUGUAUUCCAGUUACACCUAUACACUUUCAUAAGGAAUGACAAAAGGAAGCAAGGGGUAUAUACAGCUUUUUUUUUCCAUAAAAUGGUCAUUUAUUUACUGGAAAGAUUUAAGUAAUGUUAGAGUUCAUUAAUAAAUGAUAUAGAUAUUUACAUAUGCUAGUAAAUUGCAACCAUGCUGUCAGCAACAUAGCUAAUAACUACCUUAACUUUUAUACAUAGAAAAGUUUCAGAAAACCUGUUUUUCCAGACAAAGCUUUUUUUUUUUACAAACAAUAAACCUUCUAGUGACCUUCUUCUUAUGGAGGAAUGAAAAGAAAACAGAGCAAAACAAAAGGGAUAACAAUUUUCAUGAUUUGCCUCACACCAUGCAACCAGGUCAGAUGUAUUCAAUUAGCUAAAUAAAGAAUAAGUCAGAGUCUCGACAACGGAACGAGUUUCAUUUUAAAGGUCCAUAAAUUGAUUUGAAAUCCUGACACAAGGGCAAAAUUAUCUCAGUUAUGAGGGGCUUCUUUGUAAUAAAUUAAGAACCGCAUGACGUUGUCAGAAGCACAUUACUGAGAUGAAUGACAUAGCAUCACCUGUGGUUGGUCUCACCCACUCCGAGGCUUAUAAAAGGCAGUUGGAAGAUGGCAACAUCCAAACCAAGAAGACCUUCUUCUUCCUCAGCUGAACAUUCCACUUCCAACACCAUGUGUUACUACGGGAACUUUUAUGGUGGCCUCGGCUGUGGCUACAGAAGCCUGGGCUGUGGCUAUGGCUGUGGCUAUGGUGGCUAUGGUGGCUGUGGCUAUGGUGGCUAUGGCGGCUAUGGCUAUGGCUGCUGGCACCCGCUGUACUGUGCAUUCCUCAAUAGUUUGAUUAAAAAGGGAGGAAAUGAUCUAUCAUAGUUCCUGGCAGCUGCCUGUGUGGCUUUGUCUUUUAAUCUUAUGCAAAAAGUCAUCCAAGAAGGCAUCUUGUCACUAUCUCCAUACACCUAAAUCAGGGCUUGCCUCUUUUAACAUUGAUUUCUUAGUGUUUUUAGCUAUCACUUUUCCUUAGAUCUCACAAUUCUAUUUCAUUGAUUCCAGAUCACCUUUACCC